CAGGUUCCUACAGGGUAACAUCAAUCUCUUUGUGACAUCUGGUGCAACCAACCUGUGGAUCCAUGGGGGGGACAGCAAACAGGAGUACCGGAAACCAGUCUGUUGCUGCAUCGCUCAACAAGAAACUAAGUCGUACUCCUUUCCUACUCAGUAAGGAGCUCAAUAUUGCUCUCUCCUCACCCCCCUGAAUCUGGAGUAUUUUCACCACAGCAUAUCUCAUGGGUAGGCAAACUAAGGCCCGGGGGCUGGAUCUGGCCCAAUUGCCUUCUAAAUCCGGCCUGCGGACAGUCUGGGAAUCAGGGUGUUUUUACAUGAGUAGAAUGUGUCCUUUUAUUUAAAAUGCAUCUCUGGGUUAUUUGUGGGGCAUAGGAAUUCAUUCAUUCCCCCCCCCAAAAAAUAUAUAGUCUGGCCCCCCACAAGGUCUGAGGGACAGUGGACUGGCCCCCGGCUGAAAAUGUUUGCUGACCCCUGGCGUAUCUGCUUGUUGGGGGCAGAAUUACUGGGGGGUAAACCCACAUACCAUUUCCGCACAGAGGGAAAAUCCUUCCCACAGAUUCCACCAUUCUGUUAUUCCCUUUGUGCUUCUAACAACAACAAUACAACAUUGUUUUCUUGGAUUUCUUAAGACCUGGGCUUCUUGCUUGACCCGCCAAUAGAGGCGGCAUUUCAGCCUGGCACCUGCACAUUAGGGAGGUCAUUUGGUGACGGGAGGCCUUGAGAUGGCAGCAAGCCACAAUUGCACAUCAUCAGGAAUGAGGAGUUAAUCCUUAUCCCAACAGCAAGCACCAUUAAGUUUUGUCACCUGCUAUCCAUCUGCCCGUAAAGUGCUCAUUCUGCACUGCGCUCUCUUAUUUUGUCACGGGCAGAUGAGCCUGAGGUCAGUCCAUCUCAAUGGGCCACGGCUGGGGACCAUAUUGCGGAAUUCCCCGAGAUUGAUGUUCAACAGGGGCCUUCAGGUAAGAAAAUCCUGAAGAAUUUAUGGCUAUUAAAUCAGCGCUGGGUGACAAAGAAGUGGAAGCAUUCUUAGAGGCAGGGUGCCAUAGGAAUAGCAAUGAGUGUUCUUCACACGUGGAAGACAGUGGGGGAUGAGAGCGAUCCUCCUCCUUUGACUCUUUGCAGAUUGCCGUAGUCGGUGCCUUUCCCCCAGAAAAAUAAGUGACGGAACUCACCUAUUGUUGUUACAGUAAGUUACAGGGCUACUUGGAGCAGAUGCUGGUUUGACAACAGCCACGUUCAACCACACACGGAGAUGCUAAAAGCUACGGCGAGUUGUCUCCCUAGCUGGUUUGGGGAUCAUCCCUGUUUCUGGUGCAGGUCAAAUAAAUGCAUCUUUGCCUCCCUCGUCCUCUUCUAUUCAGGUGGAUGGCUAGGACAGCUUGGAAGGGCCAUUGUGCAAAUUUGUGUGCGUGCACAACAGGAGACACCUGGCCGGAAAGCUUAAAGCCUGCCGCCGCUACACAGCAGACCGACUGACCCACAGGUCAUCCUCCUCUCCAGGACCCCAGCUGGAUGCAGUGGGCGAGUGAGCAGACGAUGCUGCUGCUGCCACUGUGCCAAACCAUCCACCCAAGCCUUGCAAUUCAAAAGGCAGCAUGGAAACCUCGUCAUGCAGCUGAGGGAAACCUGCUUGGCUGCUUCUGCUGCAGAUGAUUGGCUGCAGCUCCUGGCAAGGGCCUCUCCUCUGCCUUCCUCCAAGGCUUUGCCAUCCUUCGGGGGCAGCAGGUGCUUGUGUUCAGAGCCUUUCUUAUAUAACACAACAGGAACUCACAACAGCGGAGGCACAACUUUGCCGUUAGCUGCAGUGCUUGCUAAAAUAAAUGCUGAUUCACUGUAUAA